rnacentral:rRNA from 1 species
CCUACGGGCGGCAGCAGUGAGGAAUAUUGGUCAAUGGGCGGGAGCCUGAACCAGCCAAGCCGCGUGAGGGAAGAAGGUACAGCGUAUCGUAAACCUCUUUUGUCCGGGAACAAAGGCGCGGACUAGUCCCCGGAUGAGGGUCCCUGCAGAAAAAGCAUCGGCUAACUCCGUGCCAGCAGCCGCGGUAAUACGGAGGAUGCGAGCGUUAUCCGGAUUUAUUGGGUUUAAAGGGUGCGCAGGCGGCCUGUUAAGUCAGCGGUAAAAGCCCGGGGCUAAACCCCGGCGAGCCGUUGAAACUGGCGGGCUGGAGUGGGAGAGAAGUACGCGGAAUGCGCGGUGUAGCGGUGAAAUGCUUAGAUAUCGCGCAGAACCCCGAUGGCGAAGGCAGCGUACCGGCUCCACACUGACGCUGAGGCACGAAAGCGUGGGUAGCGAACAGGAUUAGAUACCCGAGUAGUC